GCCCCUCGCUUACACCAAGGCGAUAUCUGUUUAAACCAGGUUAUUUUGA
rnacentral:tRNA from 1 species